AAAUUUGUUUGAGCGGGAAAAUUUUACAGUAUAUUUUGGUCUUGAUGUAACCUUGCUGUAGCCAUUGCUGUAAUGUGCCAGGUGUACUUGCAAUAAUCAGUGAAAGUGCGCCAACGUCAAAUCACACAGACAGAGGGAGAGCACAACUCUUGGCUGCAGCUGAAGGAGGAUGAUUGAUUUCUGUCAGUUCGUCUUACCAUUGCUUGUAAACUGGAUUGGGUAAGAUGGAUCAUCUUUAAAGGCACCAGGAGUUAAGGCAGAUGUGGAGGCACAACGGGUGAUACCAGACACACACCAAGCACAUUAUGUUCGGACAUUCAAUCAUGACAGGAUCCAGGUGGAUGCUGUCCAUUGAUGAAAGAGUUUGUUCAGCGGUUUCUGGAUAGAAUUAAUUCCAAAGAUGGGAAAAAGUGCACAUCCAGACAAGGAGCAAGCAAAAAGACAAGGAACUUGGUGCAGAGAAAAGCUGUGGCCAUUAACCCCCAUGUGAACAGCUUCAUGCAGUCCCUGAUUGAGUUCGAAUGGACGACUUCAAAGUAAAGGCCACUGUGGUCUGUCUGCCACAGUUUAAUUUUUAAUUUAUUUUUAGUGUUCAAUGAAAUUCAAGUAGAAUAUUUAAAACUAUGGGCCAGUGUUGUUUUUACCACAGUGAAAUGUUACCUUUUAGUCGAUGAUGGACUUUAAACUGAAAACUUCAAACUAUGGACCAGUGUUCUAUUUG